AGUGAACGCUGGCGGUAGGCCUAACACAUGCAAGUCGAACGGCAGCACAGUAAGAGCUUGCUCUUACGGGUGGCGAGUGGCGGACGGGUGAGGAAUACAUCGGAAUCUACUUUUUCGUGGGGAUAACGUAGGGAAACUUACGCUAAUACCGCAUACGACCUACGGGUGAAAGCAGGGGAUCUUCGGACCUUGCGCGAUUGAAUGAGCCGAUGUCGGAUUAGCUAGUUGGCGGGGUAAAGGCCCACCAAGGCGGCGAUCCGUAGCUGGUCUGAGAGGAUGAUCAGCCACACUGGAACUGAGACACGGUCCAGACUCCUACGGGAGGCAGCAGUGGGGAAUAUUGGACAAUGGGCGCAAGCCUGAUCCGGCCAUACCGCGUGGGUGAAGAAGGCCUUCGGGUUGUAAAGCCCUUUUGUUGGGAAAGAAAAGCAGCAGGUUAAUACCCCGCUGUUCUGACGGUACCCAAAGAAUAAGCACCGGCUAACUUCGUG
rnacentral:rRNA from 1 species